rnacentral:rRNA from 1 species
UACGUAGGGACCAAGCGUUGUUCGGAUUUACUGGGCGUAAAGGGCGUGUAGGCGGCGUGACAAGUCACUUGUGAAAUCUCCGGGCUUAACUCGGAACGGUCAAGUGAUACUGUCGUGCUAGAGUGCAGAAGGGGCAAUCGGAAUUCUUGGUGUAGCGGUGAAAUGCGUAGAUAUCAAGAGGAACACCUGAGGUGAAGACGGGUUGCUGGGCUGACACUGACGCUGAGUGAGCGAAAGCCAGGGGAGCAAACGGG